UAAUGAAAAAUAAUCAAGUCAACAACAAUGAACAUUCGAACAUUCUGCUCAGCCUAUUAAACACUAUCUACAUAGUCAAGAUUUUGGAACUCAUCAAGGAGAUCUUCUGAUGUGCCUGAUCCCUCCCUCUUAACAGGUGUUAUAGGAACAGUACAAUAGAAGGACUCUUCUCUAAAAGAUAAAGAAAAAAAAGGAAGACAGAGGGCAGCAGUCAGCAAAAAAUGAAGAGCAAGGCAGAAGGAAAGACAGGGUAAGGCUGACAGCAACUUGAAAGAAAAUGCUGAAUAUUGCUCAUUUAACUAAAUUAAACAGAAAUAUGACACGUAGGAACAAGAUACAUUAAAGUCAAUGACAGGAAAAGAUGAGAAAAUUAUGGACUCUUUUUAAAGUUGUAGUUAAAACAAUGAAGUUUCCAAAAACUUUAUAUAAUAAGUGCAUUUUAUAAACCUAAAGUUUUGUAGCCAUCUCAAGAUCACUGGGAACCCCCUCUCCCCAACGCUUAAAGAGUUAAUUUAGGGGGGUUGUUCUGUUUUUUGUUUGUUUUUUUUUUAAUUCUAUUACAUAAUUUAUUCCAUUAUCACCAGUGCCUUUAACAGUAGGCGGUAACAUGGACAAACAAAAAUGGCUACGAUUUAAAAAACGGAGUCAAUUAAGCAUCUGAGUUGUUUGUUACGAACUUCUUUAAAAGGAUUUACUAUAUUUCAUUUAUAAAAUACAAGUUUUAUUGUCUGUAUCAUUGUUUCUGGCAUGUGUAAUAGCAUAUUACUCUUUAUCUAGAAAAGGAUCUAUAUUUCACACAAUUAUACAAACAUGAUGUGUCCAUUAAAAACAAAAAUCAAAGUCUUAAAAUAUAAUUAAAAGAAAACAAAAGGGAUUUGGUACCAUAAUCUAGAAGAAUGAGAGAUGUAAGACAGUAGAAAAUUUUAUAAGCAAUGGGCCAGUCCUUUAGAUAUGAAAUUAAACACAUUCAUUUAAGUUUUAAAAUUAAAUUUUCUUAAGUGGCAUCUUGGUCUAGUGGCUUGAACACAGAAUCAGCAAACAGAAAUGCCUGAUUUCUAAUUCUGAUUCUGCUACUGAUUUGCUGCAUGGUUAAAGGUAAUUCACGAUCACCGUGUCUCAUAUUUCUCCAGCUGUAAAAUGGAAUAUAUCACUGCUUACUUACCAGUAACUCCUUCACAAGGCUGUUGUGAGGAUCAGUUAAUGCAUGCACAGUGCUUUCAAAUAUUACUAUUUGUAUUUUAAUUCCUAUUAAAUAAGAAUCUAAGCAACACUUAGAUAUUAAGUGAUAAGCACUAUGUAAAAAACUUAAAAUAUCUAAGUUGGGCCUGAGUUGAAAAGUUUGGCUACAGAUAUUAUGAACUUUCCCAAAGUUCAGUGGUGCUCUGAACUAUAUUUUGGUUUAGGAAUGUACUAACCUUUUAUUUUAAAAUGCUACUGCAAAUUCUUGCUUCUAUUUGGGUAAAACAUGCAUCACUCAUGAUACAUUUCAGUGAACACCUAAACAUAAUGUACACACAGCUAACAACUUCUACACUGUAUCUGAUGUGAGCAAGUGAAAUGAAAUUUAAUUUAAUUCACUUUUGGUAAAAAUUUCUUGGAUGACUAUACUGAAAGCAAAAAGCUAUCUGAAGAACAAAGUAGACAAUAAAAUCAUUAUCAUUUUAUCUUGUAUACAAAAUGGCUCCUUUUUUAAAAAAAAGUAUAAUAAACAUACAUAUUUUUAGAAAAACUUGAACAAGAAAUAUCAAUGGAGAUUUCUUAUGACUUUUUUGUUCCUUCCGUGUUUCUUGCAAUGAUUACUUGCAACAUUUCUUUUUCAAAUGGCCUGCAGAGUGGCUUGAGAAUACUAGCAUUAUUUAUUUCCACUGA